rnacentral:sRNA from 1 species
UUAAUUUACAGGUUUUUUAAGGAAUGCCCUCACCCGGAUGAUAAACAAAGGAAAGAGCUUGGUCGUCGAUUAGGGUUGGAGCCUUUACAAGUUAAAUUUUGGUUCCAAAACAAGCGUACUCAAAUGAAGGUAAAGUGUUCAUCUUUCAGAAUUCUCAGGCUUAAAAUUUUCACCCAUGUUUAUCCGUAUAUUAGUACAUUAACUAUUGAGCACAUAAAUGGGAAGUUUAACUGUAAAGGAUUAAAUAUUUUCAGUCUCAACAUGAGCGGCACGAGAACACACAGCUGAGGAAUGAAAACGAUAAGCUACGUUCAGAUAAUAUAAGGUAUAAGGAAGCUCUCAGCAAUGCUACUUGUCCCAACUGUGGAGGACCAGCUUCCGUUGGCGAGAUGUCAUUUGAUGAGCAGCACUUGAGGAUAGAGAAUGCUCGCUUAAGAGAGGAGGUAAUAAGAGCAGACUUGAGACACUUGUAUUAGGAAUAUUGCUUUUUAGUAUGUGUCAAAAGAUUCUUGCUUUAAUGAGAUAGUGCGUUUGGAAAUUUCUAAUCAUUUUGAUCCACAGUUAAAUAAAUGAUUAAGCAAAAAAAUUAGCCUGUAAGUGUUUUUAUAUGUACUUUUGAACUUAUGUACAUGGGUACUCUCUUUUCAGAUUGAUAGGAUUUCUGGAAUUGCUGCAAAGUAUGUUGGCAAACCUUUGCUUUCUUAUGCACAUCUUCCUCCUGGAUCAUCUCGUUCACUUGAUCUUGGACCGGGAAAUUAUGGGCUGCAGACCGGCAUGGACAAUGAGUUAUUUGGUGCGGCUGAUCUUCUUAGGUCGGUCUCCGGACCAGCUGAUGCCAACAAGCCCAUGGUCAUUGAGUUGGCUGUUGCAGCAAUGGAGGAAUUAAUCCGAAUGGCUCAAACUGGAGAGCCUUUGUGGAUGCCUAGCACGGACAAUUCUGCUGAGACUUUGAGUGAAGAGGAAUAUGUCCGCACUUUCCCUCGUCUUAUUGGGCCAAAGCCCUUGGGAUUGAAAUCUGAGGCAUCUCGAGAGUCAGCUAUUGUGAUAAUGAAUCACAUCAGCUUGAUUGAAAUUCUGAUGGAUGUGGUGGGAUUUCUUACAUGCAUAUAUGGAAAUCAUUAUAUAAUUUAUUUAUUUUUUAAUUUCAUUUUAAUCAGCAUUUUUGGUGUCAUUGUGAUUACAGAAUCAAUGGACAAGCGUGUUCUCCAGCAUUGUCUCAAGAGCAAUGAUUGUUGAAGUUUUAUCAACUGGAGUGGCUGGCAACUAUAAUGGAGCUUUACAAGUGGUAUGCAUAAAAAUUUUAUCUUGGAGAUUGCUAUUCUUCACCGCUUAAGCAAGGACAUUUUAUCGGAAACUCUUAGAAAUUGUUAAUCCUAAUGCUUUUAUCUUUGUAGAUGACUGCUGAGUUCCAGGUCCCUUCUCCAUUGGUUCCAACUCGCGAAAACUAUUUUGCAAGAUAUUGCAAACAACAUGGUGAUGGAACUUGGGCUGUGGUGGAUGUUUCUUUGGACAACCUGAGAGCUACCUCUAUACCCAGGUGUAGACGAAGGCCAUCUGGUUGUUUGAUCCAAGAAUUGCCAAAUGGUUACUCAAAGGUAUAACAAAUUCUUGAGUUAAAAUUUCAAUUUAAAUAAAUAUAGGUCUCUAUGUUACUAGUGAUCAUGCUCCUAUCUGCAGGUUAUAUGGGUGGAACACAUUGAGGUAGACGAUAGAGCUGUUCAUACAAUCUACAAACCACUGGUCAAUUCUGGUCUCGCAUUUGGGGCAAGACGCUGGGUAGCGACUUUGGAUAGACAAUGUGAACGUCUUGCAAGUGUAAUGGCCAAUAACAUUUCAGGAGGAGAUGGUGGUGGUACUAACAGAUUCCAAAUUUUACUGUAAAAUGUUAGUUGACAUGAUUUUUUUAGCCUGUGCUAAUUUGUGUAAUUUCUGGUGCAGUGAUAUCAUGUCCAGAAGGUAGAAAGAGUAUGUUGAAGCUGGCAGAAAGAAUGGUAAUGAGCUUCUGCUCUGGGGUCGGUGCUUCAACUGCACACACAUGGACUACACUUUCAGGAAGUGGAGCUGAUGAUGUUAGGGUUAUGACCAGAAAAAGUGUGGAUGAUCCAGGCAGGCCUCCUGGUAUUGUGCUAAGUGCUGCUACAUCAUUUUGGCUCCCAGUUCCGCCAAAAAGAGUUUUUGAUUUUCUUCGUGAUGAGAAUUUGAGAAAUGAGGUAUGGAAUGUUUGUUCAAGACCUUGAAUUUAAAUGUCCAAGUCAAUCUUUGAUGUCACAUUACUUCUGCAGCUCCUAUGAUCAAGUGAAAUACUAAAAAUACAUGGAUUCUUAAAUCGUACUAGGGAAACAAAUAAUCACACGAUCGUCACUAUAUAUUACAGGAUAUGACAGAAAAUAUCCUUAUAUGAGAAAUUAAACAAAAUUUCCUCUACUCUUUGCAAUUUUAGAAGCUUAUUCGAGUGUUUACAAGGAUUCUUGAAGAAAUUACUAACAUUUUAUAUUAUAUAACAAUUACAGUGGGAUAUUCUCUCUAACGAAGGCCUUGUUCAAGAAAUGGCACAUAUUGCAAAUGGCCGUGAUCCGGGCAAUUCUGUCUCAUUACUACGUGUCAAUGUAAGUUGUUGAUAUAUCUUUUGAGCAGUUUAUAAUCCAAUCAUUGGUACCAGAACUUCCCCCAAAUGACUGGAUUGUUCCUUAUAAUCUGUUGAAAAUGUAAUCUGCAGAGUGCAAACUCAAGCCAAAGCAAUAUGCUAAUUUUACAAGAGAGUUGUACAGAUUCAACAGGCUCCUAUGUUAUAUAUGCUCCAGUUGAUAUUAUUGCCAUGAAUGUGGUCUUAAGUGGAGGCGAUCCAGACUAUGUUGCCCUCUUACCAUCUGGUUUUGCUAUACUUCCUGAUGGACCUAUAAAUCCAGCUGGAGGGAUUAAUCCCGAGGUUGGGUCUGGUGGAUCAUUACUGACUGUCGCCUUUCAGAUAUUGGUAGAUUCAGUUCCAACAGCAAAACUUUCUCUUGGUUCAGUGGCAACUGUUAAUAGCCUUAUCAAGUGCACCGUAGAAAGGAUCAAGGGUGCUUUGCUGUGCGAAGGUGCAUGACCAAAAGGUCUGCUUCCUGGUAAGCCUUUCUUUUUAAACUUAUUCUUGGAUUUGACAAGUAAUUAUUCUACCUUAUGCCCUGUUCUGAAAGAUAUCCCCUUAGAGCUUUCCAUGCCUGAAAGCAGGAAAUAUUUAUUUAGAUGGAAAUGUGAUAAAUUUUAUAAGUACAUGCUGUACUCCUAAAUAAACCAACCUUUGAUAUUGCAAAAAAAAAGUAGACAGACAUGAAAACUGAUUUUACAUUUUAAAAUCUACUUCUGGUUAGUGCUACAACUAUCUGUUAAAUAUUUGAUCAACCAUAAACGAAGCAUCUUCCUUUUUUUUCGCCUAAAUCUUGACAGUCGCUACGUCCUUAAAAACAGUUUCUUCAUUCUGACAUCAUUUUUUGACUGUCUUAUGUUGCAGUUUAGACUUGAAACGAAGAGCAAAUGGGAAAGAAGAAUAUGUUUACCGUAGGAUGUGGGAGGAAGGAAAGAAGUCAAGAACGCACCUUGUAUAAUCCUUGCUGUGUAGUGUUAAUUAUCUUGGAUGAAGAAACAUACUGAGUUUCACCACUCAG